AAAUGGAUGCUUUUCAAAAGAAAACGUUACUGUGGCAAACGCGGUUGGCUGAAGAAGAUCUGCAAAUGUUUUCAAACUUUUAUGAAUAUAUGAGAAAGAAGGAUGUCAACCUGCAGGUGGUAAUCAUUGUUCAACAGCACUUACAAUCAUUCACAGAAUCAUCUGGUCAUUAUUACCCAAAGAAAGAAGAUCCCAGACAUGGCAAUAUGGAUAAUAGAUCCAUUUGCAGCAAACAUUGAAGACAGCAAUUUAAGCAUGAAUGAAAAAGAAAGCCUCAUCGGUCUAUCAUCCAACGACAGUCUCAAAGCUAAAUUCCAGUCAUCCUUAUCAACACCUCAUUUUCGGAUCUCCAUUAAAACUGAAUACCCAUUGCUGAGU